rnacentral:lncRNA from 1 species
GUGGGAUCGAACCGCCAACCUGUGGUUAGUGGACAAGUGCUCUUGACACCUGUUGUGUUGUUAGCAAAAUGUCUGAGCAGGACACUGUUGUGAGGCUGACGUGGCUUUCUGUUAAAGAGUGAAUGGAAGAGGUGAGCUAGCUGUUAGCUUAGCUUCUGAUUCUAUUGAGUGGAUUUGAUAGUUAGCUAGCUUUCUGAUUGGACCCAUGAUGUUUAACUUGUGACCAGCAGUGUGGGUUUCAGCCAACAGUGAUGCUAACAUGAGUAAUACUGUCAGCUAGCCAGCUAGCUCAGAGUUAGCUUCAUUCCUGCAGUGGUCCUGUGAGUCUGGCGGAAGGACUGAAGUCUGUGAGUGGAACAUGUGAACACAGCAGUGGAAACUGUGUGAACUGGAAACGAUCCAGGAAGUCUGUAAACAGCUUUGAGUGUGAUUGACAGCUGAACAAAAGGAGGCGGGAACGUUUAUUUGUCUGUUUCUCUGGACCGUUCCUCCAUAAACACAAUGCUGUGUGAGCGUGAAGGAAACUCACGUCCUCUGAGUUUAUUCUGAGUGUUCCAUACUUUACAAGUUCAUUCCAAAUGAACAAUUAAAACAAUAGUUUAAAAAUAUACUCCAUUAAAACAUGCAAGUAAUCCAUAUUUAUUGAUUAGCUUCUACAGCUGCUAAUCAUCAUGAAGCACACACACACACUCAUUCUUAGUACUUCAGAUCAGUUUCCUGAAGUAAUCUGAUUACUCCUUCCAGCACUCAUGCAGCUGCAGAUGUCAGAAUGAGGCUGUGUGACGGAUACGAGCACGACUGGCAGACAGCUGCAGCACCCAGCUGCUCCACAGGGAGGCGCCGCUCGCUGCCUGCAGGGUGAGUUGACACAUCUGUACACUGUGUGUUAUCAUAGGAAGCACUGAGAGGCUGACGGCGGGGCACAGAUCGUCCUGCUGACACUAACAUGUCCACUGUGUUUCAGUCAUAACCAGCUGAUCGACUACCUGGACAUUAAGUCGGCCAUUUAUCUGCUGAUGUCACACAAUCAGAACCCGGAGCUGAUCAAGAUGCAGCCUGCAGUGAAGCUGGUGUGUGUGAGGACCAGCAGUAAGGGACUAGUUCCAUACUUUUAGUCCGUCCUGUGGCUCACAGUGAGUCCUCCUCUCACUGAUCACACCACGCUUCGUUUUUAACCACA